AGCAUGUGGUUAAUUCGACGCAACGCGAAGAACCUUACCAGGUCUUGACAUCCCCUGACAACCAAGAGAUUGGGCCGGUUCCCCGUCGGGGGACGAGGGUGACAGGUGGUGCAUGGGUUGUCGUCAGCUCGUGUCGUGAGAUGUUGGGUUAAGUCCCGCAACGAGCGCAACCCUCGCCUCUAGUUGCCAGCAUUCGGUUGGGCACUCUAGAGGGACUGCCGGCGACAAGUCGGAGGAAGGUGGGGAUGACGUCAAAUCAUCAUGCCCCUUAUGACCUGGGCUACACACGUGCUACAAUGGGCGGUACAAAGGGCUGCGAACCCGCGAGGGGGAGCGAAUCCCAAAAAGCCGCUCUCAGUUCGGAUUGCAGGCUGCAACUCGCCUGCAUGAAGCCGGAAUCGCUAGUAAUCGCGGAUCAGCAUGCCGCGGUGAAUACGUUCCCGGGCCUU
rnacentral:rRNA from 1 species